AAGAAGUUUUGCAUUUAGAACCAAAAUUAGUGGAACCUAUAUUAGAUUCUACAGCAAAUGAUCAAUUGGGUGGGCCAGAGGAAAUAGUAACUUUGUAGAGUUUUGUUAAGUAAUUUUUAGAUAGGUAACAAUUGUGUAUUUACAAGGAUGCUGCACAAAUAGGAGUGGGGCUAUGUAGAAUAGAUAUUAAUUCGUUUCUGUAAGAUAUUGAUAAAAUAGACUAAUAAUCCAUAGAAUAGUCAAUUCAGGAGGACGGAUGGUUAACUUAGUUAGUAAAAGCAAUUAAUUAUAGGAUUACAAUUAGAAUUUGGGAAUAAGAAGUAAUUAUAUAGGAGUUGUAGAAGUUAGUUUGAGAGCCAAAGUGUGAUAGUCAUGAACCGAGGUAAGCUUGGUGCUACUUCUUUGCUUCUUUG
rnacentral:lncRNA from 1 species